rfam:Schistosoma margrebowiei strain Zambia genome assembly, scaffold: SMRZ_contig0004663
AACUUUGAGUGAUGAAUCACUCAGCUCGUAUGUCGAUGAUGAAUGCCACCAACUGUGUGAAUUAAUAUGAACUGCAUACUGCCUUGAACAUCGACAUCUUGAACGCGUAUUGCAGUCACGAGAUAUACUGUGACCACGCCUGACCGAAGGUUG